rnacentral:rRNA from 1 species
UACGGAGGAUGCGAGCGUUAUCCGGAUUUAUUGGGUUUAAAGGGUGCGUAGGCGGACUGUCAAGUCAGCGGUAAAAUUGAGAGGCUCAACCUCUUCCCGCCGUUGAAACUGGUGGUCUUGAGUGGAUGAGAAGUACGCGGAAUGCGUGGUGUAGCGGCGAAAUGCAUAGAUAUCACGCAGAACUCCGAUUGCGAAGGCAGCGUACCGGCAUCCAACUGACGCUGAGGCACGAAAGCGUGGGGAUCAAACAGG